ACUCAAAUGAAUUGACGGGGGCCCGCACAAGCGGUGGAGCAUGUGGUUUAAUUCGAUGCAACGCGAAGAACCUUACCUACCCUUGACAUCCUCGGAAUCUGGCAGAGAUGCCGGAGUGCCUUCGGGAACCGAGAGACAGGUGCUGCAUGGCUGUCGUCAGCUCGUGUUGUGAGAUGUUGGGUUAAGUCCCGUAACGAGCGCAACCCCUGUCCCUAGUUGCCAGCGAUUAAAGUCGGGAACUCUAGGGAGACUGCCGGUGACAAACCGGAGGAAGGUGGGGAUGACGUCAAGUCAUCAUGGCCUUUAUGGGUAGGGCUACACACGUGCUACAAUGGACAGUACAAAGGGUUGCCAACCAGCGAUGGGGAGCUAAUCUCAAAAAACUGUUCGUAGUCCGGAUUGGAGUCUGCAACUCGACUCCAUGAAGUUGGAAUCGCUAGUAAUCGCGGAUCAGAACGCCGCGGUGAAUACGUUCCCGGGCCUUGUACACACCGCCCGU
rnacentral:rRNA from 1 species